UACGUAGGGGUCCAGCGUUGUCCGGAAUCAUUGGGCGUAAAGAGCUCGUAGGCGGUUCGGCAAGUCGGAUGUGAAAUCUCCACGCUCAACGUGGAGGGGCCAUUCGAAACUGCCGUGACUCGAGUCCGGUAGGGGAGUGCGGAAUUCUCGGUGUAGCGGUGAAAUGCGCAGAUAUCGGGAGGAACACCAGUGGCGAAGGCGGCACUCUGGGCCGGAACUGACGCUGAGGAGCGAAAGCGUGGGGAGCGAACAGG
rnacentral:rRNA from 1 species